GACGUAGGGCGCGAGCGUUGUCCGGAUUUAUUGGGCGUAAAGAGCUCGUAGGCGGCUUGUCGCGUCGACUGUGAAAACCCGCGGCUCAACUGUGGGCUUGCAGUCGAUACCGGCACGCUGGAGGAAGGUAGGGGUGCGCGGAACUUCUGGUGGAGCGGUGAAAUGCGUUGAUAUCAGAAGGAACGCCGGCGGCGAAAGCGGCGCACUGGACCUUUUCUGACGCUGAGGCGCGAAAGCCAGGGGAGCAAACGGG
rnacentral:rRNA from 1 species